rnacentral:lncRNA from 1 species
GCUUUCCUUAGCUUGUAGAUACAUCAGCCACUCUCUGUGUCUAUCAUCACAUGGCUCUCUGUUCCUUGUGUGUCCCUUCAUGUCGUCUUCCUUCUGUGAGUGCUUGCGUUCAGCAUUCCUCUAUUUCGAGAGGACACCUGUCCCCUGGAUAAGAGGCCCAUGCUACUCCAGUAUCCAACAUUUUUGUGUACUCGUUCGGGUUAGUCCAGCAAGGCUCAUGAAUCCCAGUGCAACGUCCUUCAGGAAGGAAGAAAAAGGAAAUACCAGAUGAGCAAUGUAGACUUCCCGCAGCAUGUGGGCCUCCAAUCACAAGGAACGCUACAUGACUCUCACCUUGCGAGCUGUAUCAAGCAGGUACCUGUGGGGAAAAUGGCCAAUGAUUU